rnacentral:misc_RNA from 1 species
GGCGAUUUGAGGAAGCAGAGAAGAUAACAGAAGCUAUGAGAGAUGCAGGAUUUGAACCUGACAAUAUUACCUAUAGCCAAUUAAUAUAUGGACUUUGCAAAGUGAGGAGGCUGGAGGAGGCAUCAAAGGUGAUAGAUGUGAUGGAAGAAUGUGGAUGCAUUCCGGAUAUCAAGACUUGGACUGUUCUAAUACAAGGGCAUUGUUUUGCUGGUGAAGUUGAUAAGGCGCUGUUUUGUUUUGCUAAGAUGAUGGAGAAAAAUGUUGAUACAGAUGCUGAUCUGUUGGAUGUACUACUUAAUGGUUUUUUGAGUCAAAGAAGAGUUUUUGGUGCAUAUCAGUUAUUGACCGAGUUGGUGAAUAAGUUUCAAAUGCGCCCAUGGCAAGCAACAU